CACAAGUGGUGGAGCAUGUGGUUUAAUUCGAAGAUACACGAAGAACCUUACCUGGCCUUGACAUGGUAGGAACCCUUAAGAGAUUAGGGGGUGCUAGCUUGCUAGAACCUACACACAGGUGCUGCACGGCUGUCGUCAGCUCGUGUCGUGAGAUGUUGGGUUAAGUCCCGCAACGAGCGCAACCCUCGUCCUUAGUUGCUAACAGUUCGGCUGAGCACUCUAGGGAGACUGCCUUCGCAAGGAGGAGGAAGGUGAGGACGACGUCAAGUCAUCAUGGCCCUUACGGCCAGGGCUACACACGUGCUACAAUGGGGCGUACAGAGAGCUGCGAUACCGCGAGGUGGAGCCAAUCCCUUAAAGCCGAUCGUAGUCCGGAUCGUAGUCUGCAACUCGACUACGUGAAGUCGGAAUCGCUAGUAAUCGCAGAUCAGCAUGCUGCGGUGAAUGCGUUCCCGGGUCUU
rnacentral:rRNA from 1 species